UCGGCCAUACCAUGCUGAAUAUACCGGUCGUUAGAUCACCGAAGUCAAGCAUCAUUGGGCGCGAUCAGUACUUGUGUGGCAUUGGGCGCUGUACUUGGGUGGAUGACCGCCUGGGAACACCGCGUGCCGUU